rnacentral:lncRNA from 1 species
CUUGAGCAUGGGUCACCUCUGUGUUUCUGACGGGGAACUGAUGUAAGGGGCUCGGUAGGAAGUGGCGAGCCGAUCGAAGCUAUUUGCCUGCCUCCCGCACUGCCCCUCCCAUGCUCCUGUUGUACUCGGCUGGGGCUCCCGGUGCCACCUCAGAUGUACUGCUCGCACGGCAGUGGUGGUCAAGGCGCCCCUCUUGCGCUGGCUUCCACCCGGUGUAGACGCUCGUGUUUCAUCGCCAGGGGCUGGUGCCAGCUACCACUGAAACCCGGUGCAGCCUGGUGACCCUCCCGGCUGUGUGCAAUCACGUGACCAUCUCCGACAUCCACCCUGAGGCUUCCUCACGUCCGUCCAAGUCAGCUCUCCUGCCUCCCUGGGGUAGCCGCCGGUCCGACCUUGGUCACCAUCCCGUCCUUGCUCCUGGUGUGACCUUCACAUCAUUCUUGUUUUCUGUUCUGUGCAUUUACAACUCUGUGUUUGCCUCUCGGAGCUACCUGUUUAUAGGGAGUAAAACGUAGGACUCACAGUGACUUUUAUCGGAAAGGUGACAUCUGGCCCAUGGUUGCUACUGUAGCACUAACUGUAUUAGAAGGGCAAUGUUGGUCCCAUGAUAGUAAGUGUCUUAUAAUCUGAGGGGUUGCUAGCAUCUUAUAUUCACGGAGCUCCCGUCUUCCCCCGUAUAAACUGAACCUGUUUUCCGUCACGUAUGCAAUCAUUUGACUGGUAGCUUUUCAGCACCUACUGUGUGUCAGGCCCUUUGGAGGCCAAAGGUGCGGCAGCGAAUGAAUAACUCGGUGUCUUUCUUCACGGAGCACAGGUUCCCACGUACCUUUAAGCUGCAUGUUUUUCCAGUUUGACUGGCCUUGCCGAUUUUCUCCUCACUCAGACCUCCUCUUGUCUUUACCCCUGGUAUUAUCUUAAAUAACCCUUAAAUCAGUGUGAUUUCUUCCACUGCUUGAUUUCAAAAUUCCCUGCUUCAGUGUUAGUUGGUGUUUAGCCCAACUACUUAUAUAAUUAUUUCUGCUUUUAUUAAACUCUCAUGAUGAAAAGGCAAAGGAACUGGAUU